rnacentral:rRNA from 1 species
UAGGGAAUCUUCGGCAAUGGACGAAAGUCUGACCGAGCAACGCCGCGUGAGUGAAGAAGGUUUUCGGAUCGUAAAACUCUGUUGUUAGAGAAGAACAAGGACGUUAGUAACUGAAAGUCCCCUGACGGUAUCUAACCAGAAAGCCACGGCUAACUACGUGCCAGCAGCCGCGGUAAUACGUAGGUGGCAAGCGUUGUCCGGAUUUAUUGGGCGUAAAGCGAGCGCAGGCGGUUUCUUAAGUCUGAUGUGAAAGCCCCCGGCUCAACCGGGGAGGGUCAUUGGAAACUGGGGGACUUGAGUGCAGAAGAGGAGAGUGGAAUUCCAUGUGUAGCGGUGAAAUGCGUAGAUAUAUGGAGGAACACCAGUGGCGAAGGCGGCUCUCUGGUCUGUAACUGACGCUGAGGCUCGAAAGCGUGGGGAGCAAACAGG